ACUAAAUGAUAAAUAAAGUGAUCUAGUUGGAGAAAGAUGCAAAGAUACCAAAGGAUAAGUUGAAAGAGAAACACAAUUGCACAACAGACACCAAUUUUUGCCGAACUUCCUGCCAUUUGCCGAACAGCAAAAAAAAAUCCCCGUAAUCAGCGCUUUUUGUAGUGCAACAAUUCAACUUGUUGAUUAUUAAAUAAACCGUCAAAAUUGGUUACCUAACGAAAACCUCGUUUGUGCUAAGGGAAGGCGACCGAGACGACAUGGGGUUUAGUUCGCGCAUGGACUGCUGCGGGCAGUUCGUCAAAUACAGUUUGUUCAUAGCGAACUUUGUGAUGUUUGUUGGCGGUGCGAUUGUCUUCUGCUUGACGCUCUGGACUCUGGUGGAUCGCAGUUUUGUUAAUGAGCUGCUGGGCACGAAUCUCUUCUCGGGC
rnacentral:sRNA from 1 species